UCUGGUGAGUUUUAGCGAAGUGGUCACACCUGUUCCCAUCUCGAACACAGAAGUUAAGCACUUUAGCGGCGACAAUAUCUAGCCACGCGCUAGUGAAGAUAGUUCAUCGCCAGGU
rnacentral:rRNA from 1 species